rnacentral:rRNA from 1 species
UACGAAGGGUGCAAGCGUUACUCGGAAUUACUGGGCGUAAAGCGUGCGUAGGUGGUUUGUUAAGUCUGAUGUGAAAGCCCUGGGCUCAACCUGGGAACGGCAUUGGAAACUGGCUUACUAGAGUGCGGUAGAGGGGUGUGGAAUUCCCGGUGUAGCAGUGAAAUGCGUAGAUAUCGGGAGGAACAUCCGUGGCGAAGGCGGCCAUCUGGAUCAACACUGACGCUGAGGCACGAAAGCGUGGGGAGCAAACGGG